rnacentral:lncRNA from 1 species
UGAAGUGAAGGCUGUGCAAGGUACACUCGGGAUAAAAUAUAUUCAAAACAUUUGAUCGUAGAAAAAGGUAUUUAUAAAUGCAUAUUUAUUUUAACAGUAAAUUGUAAGUUAUGUUCAGUAUUUUGGUCAUGUAUUAUCCACUGCUGUAGAUUCAUUACUUCUACUCAGACUUUUCAUUUGCAGUCAAUUAAUCGUCUGUUUAAAGAACAAUACAUGCACCGAAUUCUCUGAAAAAAACUGUACUGAAUCUAUUGAACAAGACUGGUUAAUUUAGUUACUAAAAAAUCAAACGCUUUAGGAUCAAAGUAAUACGAAACAAGAAGACAUUCUUAUGUAUUAUACCUCAUUGAAGAGAGGGAAAAGGAUUGAACAAUAGUAACAACAAAUUAGCAUUUUGCUAAACAUAUUUUCUUUUUCUUUUUAUGCCCCACCUACGAUAGAAGAGGGGCAUUAUGUUUUCUGGUCUGUGCGUAGUCGUCCGUCCGUCUGUCUGUCUGUUCGUUCGUUCGUCCCUUCGUUCGUCCGUCUGUCCCGCUUCAGGUUAAAGUUUUUGGUCAAGGUAGUUUUUGAUGAAGUUGAAGUCCAAUCAACUUGAAACUUAGUAUACAUGUGUCCUAUGAUAUGAUCUUUCUAAUUUAAAUGCCAAAUUAUAGUUUUUGACCCCAAUUUUACGGUUCACUGAACAUAGAAAAUGAUAGUGCAAAUUUCAGGUUAAAGUUUUUGGUCAAGGUAGUUUUUGAUGAAGUUGAAGUCCAAUCAACUUGAAACUUAGUAUACAUGUGCCCUAUGAUAUGAUCUUUCUAAUUUAAAUGCCAAAUUAUAGUUUUGACCCCAAUUUUACGGUUCACUGAACAUAGAAAAUGAUAGUGCAAAUUUCAGGUUAAAGUUUUUGGUCAAGGUAGUUUUUGAUAAAGUAGAAGUCCAAUCAACUUGAAACUUAGUAUACAUGUUCCCUUUGAUAAGAUCAUUCUAAUUUUAAUGCCAAAUUAGAGAAUUUAUUCCAAUUUCACGGUCCACUAAACAUAGAAAAUGAUAGUGCGAGUGGGGCAUCCGUGUACUGUGGACACAUUCUUGUUUAUUAUGUAUUAAAUAUACACGUUUCUUUAAUUCGAAAUGACUACACUUGCACGUAUAUAUAUAUAAAAGAAUCCCGUUACACCAAAAGAUAACAAGACAUAUUUAUGGAAGCAUAAAAUUAAAAUUUGCCUAUCACUGACACUAUGGAAGAAAAUUUACAGAAAAAUCAAAUAUUCACUCAAAGUAAUGUUAAGCAUAUAAAACUUAUUAAAAAACAAGAAGUCACCAAUUCAUCGAAGGGACGGAUCUUUAUUACCAUUGUUCUUUAUUUAUAGUCCCCAAGGUCAAUAUAGACAUGCAGUUUGAAUACCAUUCUUUGCUCUUAUCUUUCUAGUUUUAUAAUACAAAUGGAAAAAGAGAAGAUUUACUGUGUGUCGUGUCGGAAGAAAACAAACACAACGAAUUUAGUACCUUACACAGAUCCAAAGUCUAAGAAAAGGAUGCUCAAAGGCACUUGUACUGUAUGCAAGAAAGGAAAAUCAAUGUUUGUUUGACAUUGACACAGUUUACUUUCAGUACACAAUUCUUUUUAUAGGAGAUUGUUCAGUAUGAUUUGUUUUUAUUGUACAUUAUAACUAUACAUCUUAUAUACAACUAAAUGUCGAUAUCACUAAUAAUAAAC